AUACCCUGCGGAAUGCUCAGGUCCGCCGCAUCUCCUGGGUCCGUAGGGUCGGCCGGCGCGCAAUUGGUCCUGGAGUGGCCUCCUCGAAACGCCAAUAGCCGCCGGCCGCCUU
rnacentral:sRNA from 1 species